AGUAAGUGGAACCUUGAGUAACACAUUAAAGUACUGAGUUGAAGAUUGUGACCCAAACAGUGGGGAUACAGAUGAUGAAGAAGGCUAUGAAUAUGCAGCCAGGAUGUUGUCUCUAUGAAGGUGAAUAGUAUUGUGUGAUUCAUCAUAGCUCUGAUUGAUGCUAUGAAAAAAACAGAAAGAGGAACAAGAAAUGGAAUUAGAGAUACAAGAAAAGGAACUGAAUGAAAAGCAUGUGGAAUUGAAUGAGUUAAAGAAAGAAGAGUCUCAGAUGGAAGGCAAACUCAAUUCAAACAAAACUCAACUUGAUGUAUUAACUUCCUUUUUACAAAGUAGCACC